GGAAGGUGGGGAUGACGUCAAAUCAUCAUGCCCUUAUGACCUGGGCUACACACGUGCUACAAUGGUUGGUACAACGAGUUGCGAGUCGGUGACGGCGAGCUAAUCUCUUAAAGCCAAUCUCAGUUCGGAUUGUAGGCUGCAACUCGCCUACAUGAAGUCGGAAUCGCUAGUAAUCGCGGAUCAGCACGCCGCGGUGAAUACGUUCCCGGGCCUU
rnacentral:rRNA from 1 species